rnacentral:rRNA from 1 species
AUUGAACGCUGGCGGCAGGCUUAACACAUGCAAGUCGAGCGGAGAUGAGGUGCUUGCACCUUAUCUUAGCGGCGGACGGGUGAGUAAUGCUUAGGAAUCUGCCUAUUAGUGGGGGACAACAUCCCGAAAGGAAUGCUAAUACCGCAUACGCCCUACGGGGGAAAGCAGGGGAUCUUCGGACCUUGCGCUAAUAGAUGAGCCUAAGUCGGAUUAGCUAGUUGGUGGGGUAAAGGCCUACCAAGGCGACGAUCUGUAGCGGGUCUGAGAGGAUGGUCCGCCACACUGGGACUGAGACACGGCCCAGACUCCUACGGGAGUCAGCAGUGGGGAAUAUUGGACAAUGGGCGGAAGCCUAAUCCAGCCAUGCCGCGUGUGUGAAGAAGGCCUUUUGGUUGUAAAGCACUUUAAGCGAGGAGGAGGCUACUGAGACUAAUACUCUUGGAUAGUGGACGUUACUCGCAGAAUAAGCACCGGCUAACUCUGUGCCAGCAGCCGCGGUAACAC